UACGAAGGGGGCUAGCGUUGCUCGGAAUCACUGGGCGUAAAGCGCACGUAGGCGGAUCGUUAAGUCAGGGGUGAAAUCCUGGAGCUCAACUCCAGAACUGCCUUUGAUACUGGCGAUCUUGAGUUCGGGAGAGGUGAGUGGAACUGCGAGUGUAGAGGUGAAAUUCGUAGAUAUUCGCAAGAACACCAGUGGCGAAGGCGGCUCACUGGGCCGAUACUGACGCUGAGGAGCGAAAGCGUGGGGAGCAAACAGG
rnacentral:rRNA from 1 species